CUUUUGAAGAAAUGGAAGCUUUGCAAGUGUUCCAUGUGUCCCUUGCUGUCGUCUUUUUGGAGCGUUUCAUCCUUAACGCCAUGUUGACUACGUUCAGACCAAAACAAUGCAGCGUGCGUGUGAUGUCAUCACGCAUGCGCAACAAAGGCGGAAUCAGAAUCGUUAAGCA